UCCAACCUUACAUUUGGAAGAAAACUCAUGCUUAUUUGCAAAUAUCUGUAGAGCAAUUUUAAAAUAAAAUAUAGCAUAUAAAUGCUACGUUAAGGCUAUUUUAAGUUUCUCCCUGCGAAUAUAGAAGAUUGUAUUGUAAGUAUGUUAGUCAAUAAGAUCUUAAAUCUCAUUUUGGAUUUUUUUUUUAAAACAUUCCUCAUUUAGAAAUUUCCUAGUCCAAUAUAUUUUGAUGGAAGUAUCCUUAUUUCUCCCUACCCUCUAUCCCUAUUUAUAGCUUUCAAACAUUCAGUGAUACAUAUACUUUCAGUUUCAAAGGACAGAGAUGUCAUCUAGAAAAAGUGCCUUCUCCCUUUUCCUAUUUGCUGCUGUGAAGUCCCACCCAUGAGCCCAGCAAAUAUUUAAAAGGGUCACAUUAAACUCAAACCAUCAAAAAAAAUCAAGCUAAUGUGUGAAAAUGUUUUACGUACUGUGGUUACACAUUCACACAGAACUCAAGACUAUUAUAGUUAGAAGAGAUUAGUUAUUUUUCCUCUUUUUUCAAUCUUGUUUACUGUAAUCAUUCAAGAACACUUAGUGUAAGGCCAGUUUCAUUAUUUAAUGUGAUAAUCACUUUCCCCUUUGUGUACACCUUUUACAGAGCAACACUUAAAAAAAAAUAGGAAAUCAAGACUGUAAAACAACAAAAAGUGGUAGGUGGGCUUAGGGACAGAUAGGAUACCUGGUAACCUGGAACUACUUCUGAGUUUAUAUUCUUUAUAAACAGAGAUGAGACUCCAUCACCAGAGUGAGGUUUAGGGCCGGAUGGUAGAGAGGAGACUCCCCCACUGGGGUGGCCUUUAGUUUAGUCCCAGAGAGAGGGUAAGAAACGAGGCCCCCCUCAUCGUGCAGGGACUGGGGGGUAACAGCUCCACUCACUGAGGGAUGAGAGUAGGAGCAGGCUCCCAUCAUUGGGGGUAGGUUCAGAGGAGAGUCCCCUCCCGGGGGAUUCAGGACUGAGACCAGAGUAGGCGAAGGUUCAUGGCAAGGGCCAGAGUGGCGGAGCAGGGAGGAGGAAAUUCCCCUCACUGGGGAGCUCAGGGAAGUGUCAGGCUCCAGGACAGUCGGCGGGGGACGACUCAGGUUCACUUUCCUAUAGUCGCUGAGCCCAAGGGACUUGACGCGUCGGGAGCCCGCAGCCCCGACUCCGGUUACCAGGCUACAGAGGCCGCUCUGGGUCGGAGCGGAGACAACAUAAACCCCGCGGCUCCCUCCCUGUGGCUGGGGGAGGGGCAGGUUACAGGCGGCGGCCGCCAUCUUAGCUUCGGGCAACAUUCCUUCCCGUAGAGCGGUAAAACAAAUAAAUAGGAACACGUGACCCCCAAGGCCAUAGAGAUGAGCCGGCCACCCAUAAUCAAGAUGGCCUCCGCGGCAUCCCACAAGCCUCUCUGGGCCCCUCUCUAUGGCCCGGGCAAGGCCUCACUUACUCUGGGGGAUAAAGGCGCAGCUCCUCGAUUUCUCCCAGGAAGCCGAAGAGCGUCCGCAUCUGCUCGCUGGUUACCGCCGAGGAGAGGUUGGUGACUUGGAUGACGGAGAGACAAUCCACUGGUAUCCUGCAUCAUCAUCUGUCUUCCUCAAAGAGAAAGAAAGAUCCUAACUAAGACUCUUAUGACUGAUGGCCAGAACUGUCCACUGUAGCAAAGCAGCUAUACUUUGUUUGAUUGAAAUGAUACUGAACAGCAUUUGAACGAAUGCAACUGUCAGCACGGGAUCGAUGGCCACUGCUCCCCCGUCGACUUUGCUUUCACCUCUUGCCGAGCUGGAGUUCAGCAGUCAAUGGGAGAGCGACCGGGGAUCGGUUUAUCACAUCUACACCCCCGAUAGAUUGAUCACUACCCGCCCUUCCAGUCCUAUGAUUCUACAGUAUUAACAGAAGUAUCGUAGGUAAGACACAGGAGGUAAUUGUUCCACUCUACUUAGCAAUGGUGAGGCCUCAGCUGGAGUAUUGUGUCCAGUUUUUGUCACCACACUGUAAGAAUGACAUAAACAAAUUGGAGAGCAUUCAAAAGAGAGCAAAAAAAAAAAAAAAGGCUGAGGUUUGGAAAUAUGAGGAGAGCUGCCGACAGGGAAAUAACCCACUCCCUUCCCUGAUGGACCAAGGGACGCACCCCACCCAUGUACUUAUCCGCUCCACCAGUACUGACUUGGACUUCUUAUUUAUUCCAUGGGUGGCGUACCUGAGCCCACUUAUCCACUGACACUUUAAAAACCCUUGCACCCCAAUCUGGGUCUAUGCCAGUUGUGCGAUUUGUAUGUAUCUUUUCAUACUUACAAAUGAUAUCUAUAACCCAAGCCUGAGCCCAGAUGAACAGUACCUUCCCUCUCAACCUGUGUAUAUUUCAUUUCAAACAUUCACUUUAAUAAAAUUUUUAAAUCUGAACUGUGCAUGUGUAGGCUAGAGAAGAGAAAGCUGAAGGGACAUAUUAUGAACAGUCUUCAAAUACAUAAAAUACUUUUAUCAGGGGAGAGUUCUCUAAGGGUACCGAAGGUAGGACAAGAAGUAAUCAGCUUAGUUUGCAGCAAGGGAGAUUUAUGUUGGAUAUUAGAAAAAAACUAAUUAUAAAUGGUAAUUAGUUACUGGAACAGGUUACCUAGGCAGGCUAUAGAAUUUCUGUCAUUGGAGGUUUUUAAGAACAGGUUAGACAAACGCCUGUCUGGGCUCAUCUAGGUAUACUUGGUCCAGCCUCAGCACACCGAGGGGAAGGAGGGAGGGAGGGAGAAUGGACUAGAUGAGUUCUUGAGGUCCUUCCCAGCCCUACAUUUGUGAUGCUAUGAUUUCUAUCUUCCCAUCCCUUGAAAAGAUGGACAAAGUGUAACUGGUGGCGUGAUGCCUGCCUGAAUCUGCAGACAGGUGGAAACCCCACAUCGAAGCGGUGUUAAUGGCCCUAUUCAUCAGAGCCCUUAUACUGCAGGUAUAGAAUCUGGGAUUUUUCAUGACCACAGAAUUAAGCAGUUUUGCCCCAGAAUUUACAUGGGGUGGGGAGGGUAGAUAGAAACAUUGGGGGCCCUGCACAAGGUGAGCGAGGUGCAUGCAUGGAUCAACGGAUGCUACUUUCAAAUCCUCUAGCUCCGGGCACAUGAGUGAUAUGUGUAGCCCACAGUGGAAUACAAUAGGGAACAUCAUUCAAAGAAGAAAAAUAGAUUAGGAAAAUGGGUCAUGUCUGAGAUCAAUUUUCAUUGCUUUUAGGGUAUGUCCUACCUAUAUUCAAUAUUCUCAAAGCCACACAUACCUUGUAGCUGUGACAUAACCGUGAAGGAUGCUGGGAGCUCAAGGCUUAUAUAUGGCAGCAUUCUCAAAUUCAGUAAACGUCACAGCAUCAGUUACUUGAGUUGGAGGUUGUCUGUGCAAUCAUAAGGGCUAGGGACUUCUGAGCUUUUAAAUUAACAAGAACAAAAUCUAGACAGCCUCAGAAAAAAACAAAACAAAAAACCUUGGUUCAGUGGUCCCCAAUGUGGUGCCUGCGGGCGCCAUGGAAACCGCCGGGGCAUGUAUGUGUGCCCGCCUAGUGACAAGGUGUGAAAAGUAGUGCCACAUCCUCACGCCUGCCAGGGACAGAUGUUCUCUGUCCCCGGCAGGCUCGGGGCUGCGGCUUCUCUCUGGCUUCUCUCCGCGCUGCCCAGCACAAACUGGUCUCAUUUUCGUUGGCCGGAACGACUACCAGGUUGAGUAGUAUCAUGGUAGUGCAGAUGUAGGCUGUCUCAUGCACGUGCUGUUGGUUCCAACCUCUCGUCACUCGUGUAUUAUUGAUUUUUUUUUUCUUUUCUUUUUUCCUGCUUACGCCUGCACACGCACUGGGAUGUCAGUGACACGUGUUUCUGUAUAUUAUGUGAGUAUUCUUCUGCUGCACUGUUACUGCUGUUUUCUUGUGCUUUGUGAUUAUUUUAACAUUUUGCCUCAAAAUGAGUGGUUCAAAUAAAAGACAACUUAUGUAUUAUUUCAAUGCACAGUGGGAAGAAUCCUAUUGUUUUAUUGAAAAUAAAGGGAAAUGUUUCCUUAUUGUGCAGUGGUACUGUUGCAGUGCUGAAAGAACAAUGUCGAACGCCAUUUCCAAACUAAUCACGGCUCUUUUCACAUUAGCCAUCCACUUAAAUCUGAGUUGAGAGAGGUUUGAUUUGAGUUGAUGAAUUUUCUUUUAUCUGCCCAGCAAUCUGUUUUCACUAGACAAGUGGUAAAGUCUAAAAGUGCUACUGUUGCUUCCUUUAAAAUUGCUCAUCUGCUCGCAAAGAAGAAAAAACCCUUUCAAAAUGGUGAAUUGUUGAAGGAAGCAUUUUUGACUGGUGCUGAUUGCCUGCUUCAAGGCUUUUCUAAGAAGCGUGAGAUUUUGUCGGCAAUACAAGGCUUGCAGUUAUCAGACAACAGUUACGAGGAGGAUACAUGCAAUUUCAAGCCACAUGCAAACUCAGCUAAAAGAUGACUUAGAAAUAUGUGACUGGUUUUCACUGCAGUUUGAUGAGUCGCCAGAUAUAUUGGAUACAGCGCAGUUGGCAGUUAUGGUGAGGAUGGUAUUUAGUGAUUUCACCCUAAAAGAAGUUACUAAAAGUAUUGCCUAUGAAAGGGCGAACAAAGGGUGAGGACAUCUGUAAUUUAUUCAAAUCAUACGCAACAUCAAUUAGUAUGUCACUACACAAGCUGUCUGUGAUCACCACUGAUGUGGCACCAGCAAUGAUGGGCAGCACCAAUGGAUUCAUUGCACUCUGCAAGAAGAAUGUAUCCUUUCCGAACUUUGUCUUAUUAUUGCAUUAUCCACCAAGAAGCUUUGUGUGUCAGAGUUCUCUCUUUUCAACACAUCAUGAAUGUCAUUAUUAAAAUAGCAACAGAGUCCUGUGGCACCUUAUUGACUAACAGACAUAUUGGAGCAUAAGCUUUCUUGGGUGAAUGCCCACUUCAUCAGAUGCGUGUGGUGGAAAUUUCCAGGGGUAAGUAUAAAUAUGCAAGCAAGAAUCAGUCUAGAGAUAAUGAGGUUAGCUCAGUCAGGGAAGAUGAGGCCCUCUUCUAGCAGCUGAGGUGUGAACACCAAGGGAGGAGAAACUGCUUUUGUAGUUGGCUAGCCAUUCACAGUCUUUGUUUAAUCCUGAGCUGAUGGUGUCAAAUUUGCAAAUGAACUGAAGUUCAGUCCUGACGGUUGUGUGUUUUUUUUUUUUUGUUUUUUUUUUUGCUGCAGGAUAGCUACCUUUAAAUCUGCUAUUGUAUGUCUAGAGAGGUUGAAGUGUUUUCCUACAGGUUUUUGUAUAUUGCCAUUCCUAAUAUCGGACAUGUGUCCAUUUAUCCUUUUACGUAGGGAUUGUCCAGUUUGGCCGAUGUACAUAGCAGAGGGGCAUUACUGGCACAUGAUGGCGUAUAUUAUAUAACCAUUUGUUAUCCACAUUCAAACACUUCUGGAACAAUUUGAAAAGAUUUCAACAGUUCACCAUCAUUGAGCCUGUAGUUGCCUUUCUUGUGAAUCCUUUUACUUGCCAAAUAGAGGUAACAGAAAUGGCUACAGCAAUUGCGAGUCUCAUUCAAGUAAGAACAGAAGAAGUGGAACUGGAAAUUGUGGAUCUUCAUAAUGAUACUGUUCUAAAACCCUGUGCAACAGAUGUAAACUUUUGGAAUCUGGUUGACUGAAAAAAGUUUUGUGCCUUAAAAAAUACAGCAUGCAAAAUAAAAUCUUAUUUCGGUUCCACUUAUCUAUGUAAAGUUCUGUUUUCAACAAUGAACAUCAUAAAAUUAAAAUACAGAUCUUGGCUUACAGAUGCCCAUCUUGAUGAUUGCUUAUGAACGGGAAUAUCAUCCUACUCUCCCAACUACGAAAAAUUGGCUGAAGAAAUGCAGUGCCAAAAAUCACACUGACUUUUUAUUAGAAAAAAACACAUGAAUUAAUUCACCUGUUUUCCAUUAAGUGCUGAUGAGUGCUUAUGAUUAACUUGUUUAA